rnacentral:rRNA from 1 species
CGUCCUACGGGAGGCAGCAGUGGGGAAUAUUGCACAAUGGGGGGAACCCUGAUGCAGCGACGCCGCGUGAGUGAAGAAGUAUUUCGGUAUGUAAAGCUCUAUCAGCAGGGAAGAUAAUGACGGUACCUGACUAAGAAGCCCCGGCUAACUACGUGCCAGCAGCCGCGGUAAUACGUAGGGGGCAAGCGUUAUCCGGAUUUACUGGGUGUAAAGGGUGCGUAGGGGGCAGGGCAAGUCAGACGUGAAAGCCCGGGGCCCAACCCCGGUACUGGCUUUGAAACUGUCCGGCUGGAGUGCAGGCGAGG